UUAGUUGAGAUUCACCCUCGUGUUGCUUUGUAUGUGUUGGGCUCAACCUUUUUCACCUUUGUACUGUUUUUCUUUACUUUGGUCUUGAUGGUUCACCAAUGCAUUUGAUGUUACAGGUGCUAUUUUUGGUAAAAUAGCUGUGAGUUUGCUCCUUUUUUAUAUCUCAUUCUUCGGAUCGCUAGCAAACACCCUGGGAGCUCUUCAAUGGCUCUAUCCCCCAUCACCGUCUUCCGCAGGCAAAAUAUUUGGAAAGCUUGUUCAAUUAUGACCUUAUGACCGUGGCACGUCUGAAUGCAUAUCCGCGCCCCGAGACAGUGGCAAAUUAAAUUUAUUUCGGAAUGAUGGUUGGGUGGUAUCAAUGAUCAAAAAGAAAUGGUAGGAAGCAGAAUCAUCAACGGUAUCAGGCAUAUGAGGACACAGUGCAAACAUGCUGUUGAACGGCAAUACAGUUGUAGCAGUAGCAGCUUUGGAGAUGUACCACGAGAAAAGGCAGAUUGCGUUGUUAUUGGAGGUGGGGUAGUGGGGAUUGCAGUUGCCAGAGAGCUGGCCUUGGCAGGAAGACACGUGCUACUUUUAGAAGCCGCCUCGGGCAUUGGCACCGUCACCAGCUCUCGAAACAGCCAAGUGAUUCAUGCAGGAAUUUAUUAUUCCCCUCAAUCGCUUAAGGCCCGCCUGUGUGUCAAAGGGAGGAAAAUGCUGUACGAUUACUGCGCUCUUCAUGGCGUGCCGCACAAGAAGCUGGGUAAAUUGAUAGUGGCUACGACUGAAUCGCAGAAGCAUGCGCUGGAAAAGCUGCAGAGUGUGGGAAUUGAAAAUGGUGUUACGGAUUUGCGCAUGAUGGAGAGAGAGGAGGCAAUGGCAAUGGAACCCCAGUUGCACUGUGUCAAGGCCUUGUGGUCUCCUUCUACUGGAAUUAUUGAUUCUCAUUCUUUUAUGCUGGCUUUGCAGGGAGAAGCUGAAGAGCAUGGCACAACUUUUGCUUUCAACACUUCAGUUUUUAGAGGCCACAUCAAUGAAAAUGGUAUUCACCUUCAUAUUUCUGACACAAAGGAUAUGUGUACAUUUGUUCAUAAUCCUAAUGCUCCAGCACAGAUAAUAUUGACUGCUAAUGUUGUGAUAAAUUCUGCUGGCUUGAGUGCGACAUCCCUUGCUAGAAGAUUCUAUGGUUUUCCUUCUCAGUCCAUUCCUAAUACUUAUUAUGCUCGUGGCUGCUAUUUUACUCUUUCUGAAACUCGAAAGGUUCCUUUUAGCCAUUUAAUCUAUCCAGUCCCAGAGGAUGGUGGACUAGGGGUGCAUGCUACACUUGAUAUGAGUGGCCAAAUAAGGUUUGGACCAGAUGUUGAAUGGAUGCCUGAGAUUGACGAUACAGCAUGUUUCUUGAACAUGUUUGAAUAUACAGUUGAUCAUCGACGUGCAGAACUUUUUUAUCCAAAAAUCAGGAAUUAUUAUCCCAAAUUAAAAGAUGGAACUUUAAGACCGGACUACUCGGGGAUUCGACCAAAGCUUUCUGGACAAGGGCAACCUGCCGCAGAUUUUGUUAUACAGGUGUGUUCCGAAUUUUUAUAAAAGAUAAUGGCUUUUGCAACUAGAGGUGGUGGUAGAAAGAGGGAUCCUAUGUGGAAACAUGGCAAACCACCUGCAGUGCUAGGAGAGGUUAUUUGUAACCAUUGCACAAAAACUAUGACCGGUGGCAUAUACCGACUCAAAAUUCUCCUGGCAAAGAUCAAUGGACAAAAUAUUACGGUAUGUCAAAAUUGUCCUGAAGAGGUUGAAAGAGAGGCAAAAGCAAGACUUUCAGAAUAUGAGCAAAAAAAGGUAGAAAAAAAGAGGACAACAGAGGCAAUGGCAGCCCCAAUGAGAGAUAUCAGUUCUACAGGGUCAGAAAAUAUUGGGGUGGGCAGCAAUACAUCGAGUUUUUUCAUUCCUUCUAACACUCCUGGUGCGCAACCCGGAUUGUUAGGUACUUCAUGGAAUAAGGAAGUGCAUCAACAGACAAAAGCAGCAGUGGCUAGAUUUUGGUUUUACAACGAUAUUCCGUUUAGUAUUGGUGAGAGUCCAUAUUUGGAGCAAAUGGUCAGUGGAUUGACCAUUUUAGGUAAGGGGUUCAAGUCCCCAAGUCGUUAUGAGUUGAGUGGGCCAUUAUUGCAGAAUGAGGUCCAAAACACACAUCAGCUGGUGGAACAACAAAGGGGGAAUUGGGAAAGGAAUGGCUGCACCAUUUUAUCUGAUGGGUGGACGGAUAGUAGGAAUAGGACACUCAUAAACUUUCUAGUGUCUUCAGGGGGACAGGUGGUAUUUUUAAAAUCGAUUGAUGCCUCAGAUCAAGUGAAGAAUGCAGAAACCUUGAGCAACAUGUUGGAUGAGGUGGUGACCGAAGUGGGAGUGCAGAAUGUUGUUCAGGUUGUGACUGCUAAUGCAACUGCAUAUGUGGCAGCCAGUAAACUUCUACAGAGUAUAUUACAUGCAUUGCCCAACCUGAAGAGGAUGUUGGUGAGUGAAAGAUGGUUGGAGAGCUCUUAUGUAGGAAGCCUGAAGCAGAGAAGGUCAUGAAGGUCAUUUUUGAUGAUAGAUUUGGCAAACUCAUGGAGGAGAUCAUCAAUUUGUCAGAGCCAUUGGUGAGGGUUCUACGGAUGGUGGAUGUGAAUGAAACCCCAUAGGGCAUCUAUAUGAGGACAUGGAUAAGGCCAAAGAGGCAAUUCAACACUUGUAUGGGUCAGACAGGAUCAAAUAUGAACCCGUAUGGCCCAUAAUUGAUUGAAGGUGGAACCGACAACUCCACCAACAUAUUUAUGUUGCUGCCUACUAUUUGAACCCCAAGUUCUUUUACUCCUGCACUUCAAAAUAGAUGAGGAGGUUCAACUUGGUCUUGACACAUGUAUUGAGAGGUUGGUUCUUGAUGAAAAUAUUGAAGACCUCAAUGUUGAUGAGUUGCAAAGGUACAAGAAGGCAGAUGGGCCAUUGUUUUCUUCACCUAUUGGUAUUCGUAAGAGAGACACCCUACUGCUAGAUCUAUGGUGGGAAGAUUAUGGUGCCACAACGCCUAAUCUUCAAAAGCUUGCAAUCCACAUAUUAUCUCAGCCUUGUAGUGCUUCUGGUUGUCAGCGCAGCUGGAGUGUCUUUGAGGCCAUUCACACAAAAAAACGCAAUAAGUUGACUCAAUAGUGCUUGAAUAUGUGCAUUACAACCUUCGACUGCAUGAAAAGAGGGUACAAGGGAACAAUUUAUAUGACGCACUUGACAUUGAUGAGAUUGAUCCAUACACAGCGGAUUGGAUUGCUGAACCUGAUGGUGGUACUGGUGAUAUUGAUGUGGAUGCAUUUAUCACUCACGAUCAGUUAGAUGAGAUGGAGAGGGAGGCAGUUGAAUGGGUGGCAGAGGUGGCAGAACGUGAGGAGGCGGGAGAUAAGUUUGCUGAUCUAGAAGAGGCAGAUUCCUCACCUGUUCAGGAUAUUGCAGCAGCAGCAGCAGCUGCUGCAACACCAUCUACUUCAGCACCCACUCAGCAGCAACAGAGGUUUUUGAGCUUUAGUCGUAGAUGCAAUCUAUGAUUUGUAGUUUUCAAUGAUAUGAAACCAUGAAAUUAAUAUGUAUUCAGACUUCACAGAUUGAUUUGUUUUGUGGUCUAGACUCUACAAUAUGUAUUUGACUCGAACGUAUUUACUAUUUAGAACUUGAACUUGUUUUUUUUUUUGGUA